rnacentral:rRNA from 1 species
AACGUAGGAGACAAACGUUAUCCGGAGUUACUGGGCGUAAAGGGCGUGUAGGUGGUUGCGUAAGUCUGGCGUGAAAUUUUUCGGCUUAACCGGGAAAGGUCGUCGGAUACUGCGUAACUAGAGGACGGUAGAGGCGUGUGGAAUUCCGGGUGUAGUGGUGAAAUGCGUAGAGAUCCGGAGGAACACCAGUGGCGAAGGCGGCUUCCUGGCCUGUUCUUGACGCUGAGGCGCGAAAGCUAGGGUAGCAAACGGG